rnacentral:rRNA from 1 species
CAGUCGAGAAUAAUUCACAAUGGGGGAAACCCUGAUGGUGCAACGCCGCGUGGAGGAUGACGGUCUUCGGAUUGUAAACUCCUGUCAUCCGGGAGUAAGACCUGGCGGUGAAUAGCCGACAGGGUUGAUAGUACCGGAAGAGGAAGGGACGGCUAACUUCGUGCCAGCAGCCGCGGUAAUACGAAGGUCCCAAGCGUUGUUCGGAAUCACUGGGCGUAAAGGGUGCGUAGGCGGUUUGGUAAGUCAGAUGUGAAAUCCCGGGGCUCAACCCCGGAACUGCAUCCGAUACUGCCAGACUUGAGGACUGGAGAGGUGACUGGAAUUCUCGGUGUAGCAGUGAAAUGCGUAGAGAUCGAGAGGAACACUCGUGGCGUAAGCGAGUCACUGGACAGUAUCUGACGCUGAGGCACGAAGGCCAGGGUAGCGAAAGGGAUUAGA